rnacentral:rRNA from 1 species
GAUGAACGCUGGCGGCGUGCCUAAUACAUGCAAGUCGAGCGAACAGACGAGGAGCUUGCUCCUCUGACGUUAGCGGCGGACGGGUGAGUAACACGUGGAUAACCUACCUAUAAGACUGGGAUAACUUCGGGAAACCGGAGCUAAUACCGGAUAAUAUAUUGAACCGCAUGGUUCAAUAGUGAAAGACGGUUUUGCUGUCACUUACAGAUGGAUCCGCGCCGCAUUAGCUAGUUGGUAAGGUAACGGCUUACCAAGGCAACGAUGCGUAGCCGACCUGAGAGGGUGAUCGGCCACACUGGAACUGAGACACGGUCCAGACUCCUACGGGAGGCAGCAGUAGGGAAUCUUCCGCAAUGGGCGAAAGCUUGACGGAGCAACGCCGCGUGAGUGAUGAAGGUCUUCGGAUCGUAAAACUCUGUUAUUAGGGAAGAACAAAUGUGUAAGUAACUAUGCACGUCUUGACGGUACCUAAUCAGAAAGCCACGGCUAACUACGUG